rnacentral:rRNA from 1 species
AACGAACGCUGGCGGCAGGCUUAACACAUGCAAGUCGAACGAUGUAGCAAUACAUAGUGGCGCACGGGUGAGUAACGCGUGGGAAUAUACCUUGUAGUGGGGAAUAACUUCGGGAAACUGAAGCUAAUACCGCAUACGCCCGAGAGGGGAAAGAUUUAUCGCUAUAAGAUUAGCCCGCGUGAGAUUAGGUAGUUGGUGGGGUAAUGGCCUACCAAGCCUACGAUCUCUAGCUGGUCUGAGAGGAUGAUCAGCCACACUGGAACUGAGACCCGGUCCAGACUCCUACGGGAGGCAGCAGUGGGGAAUAUUGGACAAUGGGCGAAAGCCUGAUCCAGCCAUGCCGCGUGAAUGAUGAAGGCCUUAGGGUUGUAAAGUUCUUUCGCCCAUGAAGAUAAUGACGGUAGUCGGAGAAGAAGCCCCGGCUAACUUCGUGCCAGCCGCCGCAGUAA